rfam:Populus trichocarpa isolate Nisqually-1 chromosome 3, whole genome shotgun sequence.
UAAUCUGUCAAGGACAGAUCCUUAUCUAGUUGUGGUAGACUCACACCUCACUGCUCAAAAUCAUCUGUUAUCGCAAACUUGACUAUAUCAUUGACACUCAUAAAACAUAUUGAGAAGAAAAAGUUCAUAAAAUUAUGGUUUUUAU